rnacentral:lncRNA from 1 species
UAGCUUCUCUGCCUCAGCGCCGCAGCAAACUGGUGCUGCAACAGUAGCCACCAUUCGGGCGAGUUGUGCCUCCACGCGCACCACGCCUUGCACGCCGCACCUCCAGCAGUACCUGCAGCAACAAACACAAACAAUACAGCAAAGAAAAGGGAACAAAACAGAAUAGCAAAAAUUGGGCAACAAUAUGCCAACAAAAAAAACAGAAUAGAUUUCUUUUGAUUUUGUUUUU